rnacentral:rRNA from 1 species
GACGAACGCUGGCGGCGUGCUUAACACAUGCAAGUCGAACGGAAAGGCCCUGCUUUUGUGGGGUGCUCGAGUGGCGAACGGGUGAGUAACACGUGAGUAACCUGCCCUUGACUUUGGGAUAACUUCAGGAAACUGGGGCUAAUACCGGAUAGGAGCUCCUGCUGCAUGGUGGGGGUUGGAAAGUUUCGGCGGUUGGGGAUGGACUCGCGGCUUAUCAGCUUGUUGGUGGGGUAGUGGCUUACCAAGGCUUUGACGGGUAGCCGGCCUGAGAGGGUGACCGGCAACAUGGGGACUGAGAUACGGCCCAGACUCCAACGGGAGGCAGCAGGGGGGAAUAUGGCACAAGGGGCGGAAGCCUAAUGCAGCAACGCCGCGUGCGGGAGGACGGCCUUCGGGUGGUAAACCGCUUUCGCCUGUGACGAAGCGUGAGUGACGGUAAUGGGUAAAGAAGCACCGGCUAACUACGU